CUGCGCAUGUCGAAUGUUUUACGACACACGAGAAAAAAAGUUACCGCGGGAUUUUAAUUUCUCGGUCUGCAUUAACAAAUAGAACUUCCGCCAUUCGAGUGAGAAGGAGAAAGAAGAACGCCAUAAAGAAUAGGAGCAUAUUGAAUUUUUCUCCGGGAAGAAGAAUAUUUUUCACUUUUUGAAAAAAUGAAGACUUCAAUUUUACAACGACUUGAAAGAUUAUCUUUUGCGGGAAGAAUUUAGCAACAAUUUAACGGUCAGAGAGCGAAGUGAAAUAUGACGUGUGUCCGUGAAUUUUAUGAUUAAAGUGAAGUGGAAGAAUUUAACCGAAAGAUAGGGCAGCAAUUAAAGAAGGAAGGAAUGCUGCGAUAUCUGUUGGAAUAGAAGAUGAUGCUACUGCCCAGUGCUUCCAGAAUCCUUCAUUUGAGUCUUGGGUCUGAAUCUACUGCAUCAUUGCCAAGUAUUCUGGGUGAUGCCCUUUGCCAUGUACCCUGGUCAAAUCUUGUGCAACUGACUGUGGUGCUGAAGAGAGAAGAUUUCUGAAGACCCUCUUGAAAUGGAGCUGCAAUUGGAUUAACACUACAACAGUAUGCUUGCUGAGAAUGUCCACAGGGGCCUGGGGAGGCUGUGACCUUGUGACCCUGAGACGUUGUUUUGUCAAGCAUCCUGACCAACUAGACCUUUUUGUGUUCAACAGAGCCAUCUGACCAUCAGAUAUAUUUAAGGAGAAGGACCUUUCAAUUUUCCUCUUGUGUACUUUUUAAUUGUAUAUAUAUUUUUUCAUUUUCAUAAAGUUAUAUAUAUUUGUUAAGCAGUUUGGGCUUUAUUAGUAUUAAAAUAUGUUAAGAUUAGUUAUUUGUGGAAUAAUUUAAAUGAUCAAAAUAGCAAAAAAUGUAACUAAGUUUUCUGUGCUCUGGGUAAAAUACGUUAAAGCUAUGUGGUGAUUUUUUACAUUUUUUUUUUUUUUUGUACAUUUGACAUGGUUUUUUUAGAUGCA